rnacentral:lncRNA from 1 species
AGCCCGGGCCCAAAUACAUAAACCUUAAAAUAAAAAUGCAAUAAAUUACAGACCUAGUUUUAAUACCCAAUUGUUGCCCGGUGCCCAAAUUAACUAAUCAAACCCAAUAAAACUUGGGCAAGUCCUAACCCAAUUACAUUUGGCCCAGUAAGGCCCAAGUGUACAAACCCUAGCCUACAACAGGUAUUCAGCAACAAUGGAGACAGAAACCACAGAUCGCGCCGCAGCAACCGUUCUUCCUCCAGCGGUUAUCGUCUCCGUCACAACACGUUCCCCUCGCACAACCCACGUUCUCCAACGCCCACACCUGCAACAAAUCAUGACCACGAACAAAGAUAACAACAGAAAAUACAAGGGAAAAGGGGAAAAAAGAGAGAAAGUAGUUUUUGGGAGUUUUUGAUUCCCUUAUUUCGGCUAUUAAAUCCAAAUGGAUUGUUUGUACAGGGGUUAACAAAAUUUUUGUAUGGAUAAAUUAAAAAGAAAAUAGAAGAGAGAACAAAGCAUAUUUUUUAAAAGGUGACAGAUUGUGUUUUUUUUUCCUGCUUGUUUUUUUACUGUUUCUAUUUCUUUUUUGUUUUUCUCUUUUAUUGCUUAAAACAAGAAACGAAGAGAGGGAGUAGAAGGGGACUUACCGUCACGAGCGGCGUCGGAGAACCUCUUCGUUCCGUCGUCGGAAUGAAAGGGAUGCGGAGAGGCAGUGAGGGAGGAGAGCUGCGGCGCAUUUGUGGGGUGGCUGAAGAAGUGAUUUUUAGGGUUUUAAAAUUUAUUUUUAUAGGGUAUUCUUGAAAAUGGGGCAUUUUUGCAAUUGGUCCCCCUGAUUUUGCAGUGUUUUUAAAUUGUUUUUUUUAUUUCUUUAAAAUUGUGCAAAAUAUUUUAUUACUGUUUCAAUUGGGUCCAUGUUGCCGCACAGUGUUUGGGCAAUUUGGAUAAAUUACCCUUUCAAUCCUCCUCCUGUUGUGUGCAUUUUAAUUCAGUCCCUUUUUGUGUUUUCCAUUUUUAAAUUUGGCUUUAAACUUUCGUUUGUUUCCAAUUUAAUCAUUAAUUUGUUGUUUUAGUUUUUUUCUUUAUAUUAUUAAUUUUAUUAUAUUAGUUAUUAUUAUAUUAUAUUCAUUAUACUUACAUUAUAUGCGUGUAUGUAUGAUAAUACUUAUAUAUUUAUAUUUUAAACAUUUUUAAAAUUCAUAUAAAUUUUAUAUAUACUUUAUUAUUAUUUUAUAUAUAUAAAUAUAUAUAUACAUAUAUGCGUAUAUACAAUUUUAUAAUAUCUAUAUGCUUUCCAUAUUUUAUAAUCUAUAUAGGUUAAUACAUGUUUUUUUAUAAUAUAUUCAUAUAUUAUUUAAAACUUUUAUAAAUAUUUUUUAUAUAUUUUUAUAUAUACAUACGUACCCAUAUUUUUCAUAAUUAUUAAUAUAUUAUGCUUACAUUUUUAUUGAUGUAAACUUUAAAUAUUUUAUGAUUAUGUUCUUUUUAUAUAUAUAUAUUUUGUAUAUAUAUAUGCGUUAACACUGUGCAAUACAUAUGUAUGUAUAAUUUAGGUUAAGGUAAUAAUUUCAUAUUAUGCACGAGCAUUUUAUCAUACUUUUAAAGAAAAUAUAUUUUGGUUUCGUUAGCAUUAAAAUUUUUUUUUUCUUAAAAAAUUAAAUAUUUGGCAAUCAUGAUUCUCGAGAAAGAUCAUGUCCUAACUUACUAGAUCGUGAUCAUUUUUUUCGAUGAAUUUAGCAAGCUAAGUAUUUAUUUCACAAUAAAUUUGCAAUUUUCAAAUAAAAGCUUAUUCUCGGGAAUUUAAAAUGCCGGGUCCUAACUUACUGGUCGUGACAUUUCGUCAUCUCGAAAUAAGAUUUUCUAAAACAAAAAGCAAUAUUCGGUAUUUUGAAGAUUUAAAAUAUUGUGCCCUAACUUACUGGGUGUUGUGUUUUAUUUCUUUGAAAUGAGAAUGUUUUAUCAUUUUAAUACAUUCACGGGUUAAAUUUUUUUUACUCUUUUCAAAUUUUCGACAUCAAAGACAUAAAAUAAUCAAAUUUCGUACCAAUUUUUGGGCGUUACGAGGGUGCUAACCCUUCCUCGUGCGUAACUGACUCCCGAACCUGUUUUCUCAAAUUUCGCAGACCAAAAUCAUUUUUAAGGUGAGCCGAUCACACCUCAAUCAAGGAUCGGUGGCGACUCCAAUUUUUGUUUUUAAAGUCGACAACUAAUUUUUGUUUUUCAAAAAAAUGGUUUCGACAGCUUGGCGACUCCACUGGGGAAGUUAGAGAGUCGAGCCAUAAAUUGAUUAGUUCUUGUCUUUUUGUCGGAAAGGUUUUAAAUUUGUUUUAAAUCACGAUUUCCUCCUCUGCAUUCAUUGGUUUUUAUCAUGAUAUGUUUGUUUAAUUGGUCUAGGUUUGUUAGGGUGUUUGCAUUUUACAUUGCAUGGAUGAUUUUACCCCUUUAAGUGGGAGUGAGAAACUAGUCCUUCGUGAGGUUUUCACCUCCGUGCAGGAUAGUGGAUCGCUUUCAGAAUACAUCUGUACCUAUGUCUUCGUGAGAUUUUCAUCUCCGUGCAGCCAUAGGGAAAUGUAUUCCCCUGAACCGAACUUGGUCCAUAUGAGCCUAUAAUGGGUGAGGAUCGAGGAAUCUGCUGGUUCGGGUACCCUUGCUCUAGAAGCCAAAACCUCAUAUAGUGAUCCUUAGGAAUCCACCCUAGGUAGAAUUACUUUGAACCUUAGUAGAUACCUAAAUUAGGAGUUUUUACUAUUUCUUGGUUGUAUUGUAUUUAAUUGUUACUGACUUUUUGUGUUUUACUCUAAUUGCAUAGCAUUACAAUUACAUGGCAUUCUAUUAUAAAGAGGCGUUGGUUCAUAUUCGGUUGCUAGACAGAAAGCUUAUCAUGGGAAAUGUGUUUCUUGAUAAAGUGGAAGAUAAUACGGCUGCCUGAAUAUAUUCCGAGAAAUGCAAGAAAGGUGAUGGAGGAAUACAUGACUUUACUUCGUGCCUCAAGGUCAAGUUGAUUAUUCAAGAGUUUCUGACAUUCCAACUCCCUUAAAGAUGUUGAGGAGUAUUACGGGGAUGGGCAGACGUUGGAUCAUAACCAGGAUCAAGCAAAAAAGAGGUAGAAGAGAUACCCCUUUUGAAGAAUUUACAAGAUUUAUCUGAGCACCGAGAUGAAGAAGGAGAAGAUGUCUUCGCCUGGAGUAUGAGGGCAAAGUCGUAUAUGUAUAUCCGCUUUAUGUAAAGAAAUUUGUCUUCUAGUAAAGUUUUCUAAAUAGAAUUGAAUUAGAAUCAACGUCUCUUUUUGCAUUCAUCUCAUGCAUUUGCAUUACAUUGCAUCAUAUACACUAAAAUCCACCAAAAAAGCCUAAUUGAGUAAAAUUAUUUUAGUUAAUUUGGAAAACCAACAUCCUCACGGCAUCCAAGCAAAGACUAGAGAAAUGGACCAAAGUUUGGAGAAAUUAGAGCAAAUGCAAGCGCAGAUACAGGAGCAAUUGACCAAAUUUCAGCAAGAUAUGAGAGAUCAGUUGUUAGAAUUCCAAAGAAAUAUAAUGUGCCAGUUAACCCAGUUAUUGGCUAAAGGGUUAGAAAGAGGAAAGACCCCAGUGGCCCACUUUGGGGAUAGUAAUGAGGACUCUACAUAUCCUUCAGGCUUCACCCCAACAAAUACCCAAGCACAACCAAAUGCAUAUCCACAAAGGGUAAUUGUUAACAUCCGACCCCAAUAUCAGACCAGCAACUCGACACCUGUGAAUUUCCAGAUUGGCUCAGGUUCCAACUCGAUAGGCGAUUCAACUAAUCCUAUUGUCAUUGAUGAUCAAGCAGAAGUAGAACAGACGAGGGUGGAGUUCCUAAAGCAUUUCGAAGAUAGUUACAAACGGAAGGGGCGAGAGUGGAACUCUCAAAUCAAUACUUUAGAGGCCCCAAGGAAUAAGGGGGAUAAUGUAGGCAGAUAUAAAAAAGUCACUCAAAACCUGUCACUGUGGGCUGGCCAAAGACAGAAAUCACCAGCUGUCAGAGCCCUUUAAAGCAAGAAUCUUACAUGAAAUCAAAUGCAGAAGGGCCUCAGUUUACACCUAUACCGAUGUCAUAUAGCGAGCUAUAUUAAAACCUAUUUAAUGCACAUGUCGUGUCCCCCUUCUAUUUGAAACCAAUGUUGCCCCCAUUUCCUAAAUGGUAUAAUACAAAUGCUCAGUGUGAAUACCAUGCAGGAAUUACGGGGCAUUCGAUAGAAAAUUGCACCGCUUUCAAGAAAUUGGUUUAAAGGCUCAUCAACAUAGGCGUUGUUAAAUUUGAUGAUUCAUCCAGUGCAGAAAAUCCGCUACCCAAUCAUGACUGAUAAUGGGGUGAAUGUGAUGUAUGAGGAAGUGUUGUGAGGUGUUCACAUCAAUGCCAUAUAUAAAGACACAAUUGAAAAGGGUUCUUUUUAGAUAUCUAUCCUUAUGAACUUAGGAGUGUCCUAAAUAAUCGGAUUGUAGAAGAAAUCUCUAUAGUAUUUAGAGCUUGCUUAGAGUAAUGUUCAAUACACACUUGUUGCUUUUAGCCUAGAGGCACUAAGAAUUCCUUUGUGAAGUAGGCUCAUGUCUAAAUGUCAUUAUUUUAAUGAAAUGCAUCCUUGCGAUCAUUUUUGAACCAGUAUUCUUUCAGUCUGUCUGAAUAGUUAUUCUUUCAUUCUUUUGGAUUUUCUUCCACAUCAUUCAUUCAUUCAGAAUCAUAUUGUAUAGAUAAAUUUAUACAUUCUUUUGUAUAUUCUUUGGUAUUUAUUAUGGGCCCCCAGAUAUCAAUGACUUGAAUAACACUGCCACAGAUUUAGAAUCUCUUUUUGAGCAAGACAUGUGUUUAGAAGGAUCUCAUGACUUUGAAGAUGACAUAGAUCGUAGUCUACCUCCAGACUUGUUGAGGAUGGUAGAGUAAGAAGUGAACAAAUUUACCUCAUGAGGAUACAAUGGAUGAUGCGAGCUUACAACAAAAACAAAGUAAGACAUGGUAUUGAAAAAGAUCCUUCCUAUACAAAAGGAUUUUAGAGAAAAAUGAGUGCCAAAGUGGGAAUGUCCUUAUAUUGUAAAGAAGACCUUUUCUGGAGGAGCACUGAUCUUGAGUGAGAUGGAUAGUAAAAACUUGUCUAAUCCUAUAAACUCAGAAUCAGUCAAGAAAUACUUCACUUAAAGAAGGAGAGGACCAAGGUAAAAACCUACAAAUGGCACUUUGAGUCACAAAAAAAAGAACAAGAAAAAAAGAUAAUGUGAAAAAGAUGUGAAAAAAUGAAAAAAUGAAAAAUAAAAAAUGGAAAAAGUAAAAAUGGAGAGGCUAAGGUGAAAACUCGCAAAGGGCGCCUUAGACCAAAGGAGAUUUGAGUUGAAAACCCGAAAAGGGUGGCUCAAAUAUUGAUUAAAAAGGGGCAUGAGGUAAUAAGAGUAGCUCAAAUUCUGAUCAGAUUGGGGCAUGUGGCGAUCUUGCUAUGCCUGAAUUAGCAGGAAAGGGUACGCGACAUUUUAGAGCAUCGACAGAGUAUUGUAGAUCUCCUAAGCACAUUUCAAACUCAGAAUAGUCUUCAGGAAAUUUGUACAGAGAAGUUCAAGUUGCGUUAUCUAGGGCAUCUAGUUUUCAUACUAUUUUUAUCGAAUUGUUUGUUCUUGGAAUACUUCAUUCUUUUUCAAGAUACGUGUUCCCAAUCCAUUCUUCUUUUAUUUUAUUAUUAUCCUUGAUAUUUUAUUCAUUUCGAGCUAUGCUCUUAAAUCAAUUCUAUUUUAUUUAUCAUUUUGUUCUUUUUGCAAGUAUGUUGCAUUAGAAUAAUGAUUAAUCGACCAAUAAAACUUUCACAAUGGAAGUUUUGCAUAUUACUCUAGAAAUAACCUGAAACAGGACUAUUGUUUAGAACGCACCAAGUUUAAAGGUUGAAAUAUCUGGGAAGGAAAGGUCUAAAUUGAGACUAUCCCUUCAGAUUUUGUUGUCAUAACAUUGAUUGAACAAAAUGACAAGAUGUCGUGUCGGUGAUAAGGCUUCAAUGAAUAAGCAAACAAUGAUCACCAAGCAAUAGGAAGAGGUUCCUCGGAGAAGAAAGCAUUCAUUUGUGCAUGAGCAUUUGGUACGACACCUUGGAAAUGGUGUAAUGAACCAAAGAGUUUCACAUUCUAUAUCCUUGAAUUGCGAUAGGAGAGGAUUGAGAAAGGACCAGAUUUUUCUACCAUUGGGUUACAGCGGGAGAAAGAUGGUACCAAUGUUGCAUCCCAGUAGAUUGAACUUUGAAGUUUACAGUAGGGGCAGGUUGAUUAAGUGUUUCUUCGGAGAUGCUAGCUGAGCAAGAGGACGUUUUAGUGCGUCAGUAAUACAGUUUCAAUAAACUUUGAGUAAUGACAACCUAAGCUUUAAAGAGGGAUCAUUCUCGAAAAAUGACAUUCGGCACUCAUUCAAAUGUCAUUCAUACACGUCUAGUUAGGAGCAUUUGAUUCAUUUUGAUCAUGACAUCCUAAUCACUAGGCAUAAUUAGGUUCAUAACUUGAAUUUUACAGGUCAUGUUCCCAAGAGAAAAAACUGAUAAAACUUCAGCCUUAUCUCCUUGAGCAGCAGUGGAGUAGGUUGAAAAUAGUAGAUUUUUAUUUCCUUAGUGUUGUAGUGGAGAAGAUUGAAGUCACAACGGCGGAUCUGGUUUCUCCAAUAGAGAAAAUUAAAAAGAUUGAAGCCACAACGGCAGAUCUUACUUCCCUGGUGAUGCAGUGGAGCAAAUUGAAGUCACAACGGCGGAUCUGGUUUCCCCGAUAGCGCAAUUAAAAAGAUUGAAGCCACAACGGUAGAUCUUACGUCCCUGGCGGUGCAGUGGAGCAGAUUGAAGUCACAACAGUAGAUCUGGUUUCCCUGACAGCGCAAUUAAAAAGAUUGAAGCCACAACGGUGGAUCUUACUUCCCUGGCGAUGCAGUGGAGCAGAUUGAAGUCACAACGGCAGAUCUGGUUUCCCCGACAGCGCAAUUAAAAGAUUAAAGCCACAACGGCGGAUCUUACUUCCCUGGCGAUGCAGUGGAGCAGAUUGAAGUCACAACAGCGGAUCUGGUUUCCCCGACAGCACAAUUAAAAAGAUUGAAGCCACAACGGCGGAUCUUACUUCCCUGGCGGUGCAGUGGAGCAGAUUGAAGUCACAACGGCGGAUCUGAUUUCCCCGACAGCUCAAUUAAAAAGAUUGAAGCCACAACGGUAGAUCUUACGUCCCUGGCGGUGCAGUGGAGCAGAUUGAAGUCACAGCAGUAGAUCUGGUUUCCCCGACAGCGCAAUUAAAAAUAUUGAAGCCACAACGGCGGAUCUUACCUCCUUAGCAGUGCAGUUGAACAGAUUGAAGCUACGACGGCGGAUCUUGUUUCCUCGACAUUGUAAUUGGAUAAAUUGAAUAAGAAUCCUAUCCCCCUGAAGAUGCAGUAGAGCGGAUUAACACCACGGAUCUUACCUUUUUGAAAUUGCAGUAAAGCAGAUAGUAUCAGACUCAUCUUUGAAGUUGCAGCAGAAUAAGUUAACGUUACGAGUCUUAUCUCCCUGAAGUUACGGUGGAGCAGACUAGAGAUUGCAAGUUUUGUUCUUUUGAGAAGCCACAAGGUACAAGUCCUAUCUCUUUGAUGUUGCAGUUGAGUGGAUUGAAGCACCGAUUCCUAUACCUCUGCAGACGCAGUAGAUUGGAAUGAGGCUACUUGAAGAGCCCUAAGAUCCAGUAUGCCCGGGCAAAAUUGGCCAUCUUAAAGUCUUUGCUCUGUUCCCGUUACAUGACAACGAGCAAAGAAGGGCAGCUGUAAUAGGCCAUUUUAGCCCGGGCCCAAAUACAUAAACCUUAAAAUAAAAAUGCAAUAAAUUACAGACCUAGUUUUAAUACCUAAUUGUUGGCCGGUGCCCAAAUUAACUAAUCAAACCCAAUAAAACUAGGGCCAGUCCUAACCCAAUUACAUUUGGCCCAGUAAGGCCCAAGUGUGCAAACCCUAGCCUAUAACAGGUCUUCAGCAACAAUGGAGGCAGAAAUCGCAGAUCGCGCCGCAGCAACCGUUCUUCCUCUAGCGGUUAUGGUCUCCGUCACAACACGUUCCCCUCGCACAACCCACGUUCUCCAACGCCCACACCUGCAACAAAUCAUGACCACGAACAAAGAUAACAGUAGAAAAUACAAGGGAAAAGGGGAAAAAAAGAGAAAGUAGUUUUUGGGAGUUUUUGAUUCCCUUAUUUCGGCUAUUAAAGCCAAAUGGAUUGUUUGUACAGGGGUUAGCAAAAUUUUUGUAUGGAUAAAUUAAAAAGAAAAUAGAAGAGAGAACAAAGCAUUUUUUUUAAAAGGUGACAGAUUGUGUUUUUUUUCCUGCUUGUUUUUUUACUGUUUCUAUUUCUUUUUUGUUUUUCUCUUUUAUUGCUUAAAACAAGAAACGAAGAGAGGGAGUGGAAGGGGACUUACCGUCGCGAGCGGCGUCGGAGAACCUCUUCGUUCUGUCGUCGAAAUGAAAGGGAUGCGGAGAGGCAGUGAGGGAGGAGAGCUGCGGCGCAUUUGUGGGGU